rnacentral:sRNA from 1 species
GCCGCGCCUAGGACGGCCAUCCGAAAAGGGGGAUACCUUCGCCCCCCUGGCGCGGCACCCAAACGAAGG